AAGGAUCAAAGUCCUACCUUAAGUUUUUUUAAUCAUUAAAAAUAACUCUUAAACUUAAGAGCUAUUCAAAUAAGGUACAGCCUAUUUGAAACAGGAAACAACCUAAAGAACAGGGUAAUAUUCUACGGCACGUGUCCAAGUGGGCCUAAAAGCAGCCAACUUUCAAAAAGCGUUAAAGCUUAUACUCGUGCCCCCCCCCAAUCCCAAAACUAACAGACAACCCUUAUAAAGUACUAAAUAAUUCUAUAAAUUUAUAGAAGUUAUAAUGCUAAAACUAGUAACAUGAAGAAGUCCUUCUCCUAAGUGCACACGUAAGCCAAAAAGAACAACUCAUUGGCAUCUAACGCUAUUGAAUACAAAGCAACAACUCUUCAAGAAAACCUUGCUGGCACCAACGUUAACCUUACACAAGCGCACUCCAGGAAAGAUUAAAAGAGGUAGAAGGAACUCGGCAAACUUUAACCCCGCCUGUUUACCAAAAACAUCGCCUCCUGAAAACAAUAGGAGGUCCAGCCUGCCCAGUGACCAAGUUAAACGGCCGCGGUACCCUAACCGUGCAAAGGUAGCNNGCGG
rnacentral:rRNA from 1 species